AUGCGCAGAGCAGCGGCGGCGCUGAGCGGGGCGGGGUGCGCGGCCUGUGGAGACGGGGCCGGGACGAGCUGGGCCGGGCCCUCCCGGCGGAGGGCGGGUCCCUGCCCGCACCUCACUCGUUCCGCCGCCCUCCCAGCCGGCAACGUGGAGCAGGCUGCACCGGGGAGGCGUCCCGGCGGCUUGGCGGCCUGCCCCGGGCAUCCCCUCCUCGGUGCGCCGCUUUCUCCGGCGGGGCUCUGGGAAACUCAGUGUCCCCCCGUUCCCGUUGUGCCCCGAACUGGGCAGGAGUUGGGGUUUUGAUCCCCAGCUCCUGAGCGGAGGUGGCGGUGCCUCGGCAGCAGGCCGUGGCCGCGCCGCGGUGCGAGGCAGCAGGGGUAGGCCCAGCACCACCGCUCGGCAUCGGGUGGGUUUAGCAGCAGGGUAGGACCGACACUGCUUUGACGUGAGGGAAGCAUGGCUGUGGACGCUGUGGGUGAUGCUGGGGCGUUCAUUCCAUAGGCCAUGGCGCUGGUGGGGCUUCUUCACAGCACAAGUGCUCCUGAUGCAAGGAACAGCAGAAAUAGGAAGCAAAGGACUGUUCCCCUCCUUUCGUGUCUCUGUAACAUUAAGGAGGCAACAGAUAAAGAAGAGGAAGGAUGUCUGAAAACUUCAGAAAAUGGCAAGAAGAAAAAAAGAUGCUACUGCUGCGUAGAUGACUGCCGUGCAGAACUGUGAGAGAGCUCAACCACAGAGGCCAGCAAAUCAGAGUGGAACGAAACCUCAGCAAAUCAAAAUCGUGCUCCAUGGGCGAAGAGAGAUCACCUUAUAUGGGAACAUCAUGGGCAAGAAGAUGAGUAUGUCCGGCUGAGCUGCUGAGGUCAGAUCCCAAACAGAUGGAAGACAUUACUGUGAAAACAAGAGCAUUUAAGACGAGAAGACAACACUUACUUCUGCUUCACUUAUGCAGUCAGAGCCCUCCUGUUUGUCUCUUAUUAUAAAUGUUGUGUUAUGUGUAUGUAUGCAUAGGUCUGACUGUCAUUAAAAAUAAAUUUCUUUGUGGCUAUUCUAGCGCCUAAA